GACUGGUAAGUAUGAUUAAACCUCUUUCUUUUACAGGUAGAAGGAAAGAGGUAUAUAUUUUUUCCGUUUCAGGUUACUAGGUUGAAACAACAAGCAAGAAUCACCAAUCAAAUACACCAAUAAUAUCAACUUAAACCAUGCAGAGUACAUCAGACAAAAUAAAAGAAUACAAAACUGUAAA